rnacentral:rRNA from 1 species
AGUGGCGUACGGGUGAGUAAUAAGGGACUAACCUACCCUCGAGUGGGGAAUAACCUCGGGAAACCGGGGCUAAUACCGCAUAACAUCGCGAGAUCAAAGCAGCAAUGCGCUUGAGGAGGGGGUCGCGUCUGAUUAGCUAGUUGGUAGGGUAACGGCCUACCAAGGCGAUGAUCAGUAGCCGGCCUGAGGGGGCGCACGGCCACACUGGAACUGAAACACGGUCCAGACUCCUACGGGAGGCAGCAGUGGGGAAUUUUGCGCAAUGGGGGAAACCCUGACGCAGCAACGCCGCGUGGAGGAUGAAGUCCCUUGGGACGUAAACUCCUUUCGAUCGGGACGAUUAUGACGGUACCGGAAGAAGAAGCCCCGGCUAACUUCGUGCCGGCAGCCGCGGUAAUACGAGGGGGGCAAGCGUUGUUCGGAAUUAUUGGGCGUAAAGGGCGCGUAGGCGGUGCGGUAAGUCUGAUGUGAAAUCUCCGGGCUCAACUCGGAGUCUGCAUCAGA